rnacentral:rRNA from 1 species
CCUACGGGUGGCUGCAGUGGGGAAUAUUGCACAAUGGGCGCAAGCCUGAUGCAGCCAUGCCGCGUGUGUGAAGAAGGCCUUCGGGUUGUAAAGCACUUUCAGCGAGGAGGAAGGGUGGUGUGUUAAUAGCACAUCACAUUGACGUUACUCGCAGAAGAAGCACCUGCUAACUCCGUGCCAGCAGCCGCGGUAAUACGGAGGGUGCAAGCGUUAAUCGGAAUUACUGGGCGUAAAGCGCACGCAGGCGGUUUGUUAAGUCAGAUGUGAAAUCCCCGCGCUUAACGUGGGAACUGCAUUUGAAACUGGCAAGCUAGAGUCUUGUAGAGGGGGGUAGAAUUCCAGGUGUAGCGGUGAAAUGCGUAGAGAUCUGGAGGAAUACCGGUGGCGAAGGCGGCCCCCUGGACUGUAACUUACACUGAGGCUCGAAAGCGUGGGUAGCA